rnacentral:rRNA from 1 species
AGCGAACGCUGGCGGCAGGCCUAACACAUGCAAGUCGAACGAACUCUUCGGAGUUAGUGGCGGACGGGUGAGUAACACGUGGGAACGUGCCUUUUGGUUCGGAAUAACUCAGGGAAACUUGUGCUAAUACCGAAUGUGCUCUUCGGGGGAAAGAUUUAUCGCCAUUAGAGCGGCCCGCGUCUGAUUAGCUAGUUGGUGAGGUAACGGCCCACCAAGGCGACGAUCAGUAGCUGGUCUGAGAGGAUGACCAGCCACACUGGGACUGAGACACGGCCCAGACUCCUGCGGGAGGCAGCAGUGGGGAAUCUUGCGCAAUGGGCGAAAGCCUGACGCAGCCAUGCCGCGUGAAUGAUGAAGGUCUUAGGAUUGUAAAAUUCUUUCACCGGGGACGAUAAUGACGGUACCCGGAGAAGAAGCCCCGGCUAACUUCGUG